ACUAUUUUGUCAGAUAAUAUGUACUAGAUUUAGGAUCUAGCUAAAUAGAAUAAAUUCUAUAAAUAGUA